rnacentral:rRNA from 1 species
UACCAGCACCCCGAGUGGUCGGGACGAUUAUUGGGCCUAAAGCAUCCGUAGCCGGUUCUGCAAGUCCCCCGUUAAAUCCAGCUGCUCAACAGAUGGGCCGCGGAGGAUACUCCAGAGCUAGGAGGCAGGAGAGGCAAGCGGUACUCAGUGGGUAGGGGUAAAAUCCUCUGAUCCAUUGAAGACCACCAGUGGCGAAGGCGGCUUGCCAGAACGCGCUCGACGGUGAGGGAUGAAAGCUGGGGGAGCAACCGG